rnacentral:hammerhead_ribozyme from 1 species
AUCCAAAUGAAGAGUCCCAACUAGGACGAAACGCCCAUCCUGAAU